rnacentral:rRNA from 1 species
GAUGAACGCUGGCGGCGUGCCUAAUACAUGCAAGUCGAGCGAACGGACGAGAAGCUUGCUUCUCUGAUGUUAGCGGCGGACGGGUGAGUAACACGUGGAUAACCUACCUAUAAGACUGGGAUAACUUCGGGAAACCGGAGCUAAUACCGGAUAAUAUUUUGAACCGCAUGGUUCAAAAGUGAAAGACGGUCUUGCUGUCACUUAUAGAUGGAUCCGCGCUGCAUUAGCUAGUUGGUAAGGUAACGGCUUACCAAGGCAACGAUGCAUAGCCGACCUGAGAGGGUGAUCGGCCACACUGGAACUGAGACACGGUCCAGACUCCUACGGGAGGCAGCAGUAGGGAUCUUCCGCAAUGGGCGAAAGCCUGACGGAGCAACGCCGCGUGAGUGAUGAAGGUCUUCGGAUCGUAAAACUCUGUUAUUAGGGAAGAACAUAUGUGUAAGUAACUGUGCACAUCUUGACGGUACCUAAUCAGAAAGCCACGGCUAACUACGUG